UACGGAGGGGGCUAGCGUUGUUCGGAAUUACUGGGCGUAAAGCGCGUGUAGGCGGCUAAGUAAGUCGGGCGUGAAAUCCCACGGCUCAACCGUGGAAGUGCACUCGAAACUGCAUAGCUAGAGUCCUGGAGAGGAAGGUGGAAUGCUUGGUGUAGAGGUGAAAUUCGUAGAUAUCAAGCGGAACACCGGUGGCGAAGGCGGCCUUC
rnacentral:rRNA from 1 species